rnacentral:rRNA from 1 species
GACGAACGCUGGCGGCGUGCUUAACACAUGCAAGUCGAACGGAAAGGCCCUGCUUUUGUGGGGUGCUCGAGUGGCGAACGGGUGAGUAACACGUGAGUAACCUGCCCUUGACUUUGGGAUAACUUCAGGAAACUGGGGCUAAUACCGGAUAGGAGCUCCUGCUGCAUGGUGGGGGUUGGAAAGUUUCGGCGGUUGGGGAUGGACUCGCGGCUUAUCAGCUUGUUGGUGGGGUAGUGGCUUACCAAGGCUUUGACGGGUAGCCGGCCUGAGAGGGUGACCGGCCACAUUGGGACUGGGAUACGGCCCGGACUCCUACGGGAGGCAGCAGUAGGGAAUAUUGCACAAUGGGCGGAAGCCUGAUGCAGCAACGCCGCGUGCGGGAUGACGGCCUUCGGGUUGUAAACCGCUUUCGCCUGUGACGAAGCGUGAGUGACGGUAAUGGGUAAAGAAGCACCGGCUAACUACGUG